ACUCCUACGGGAGGCAGCAGUGGGGAAGUCUUGGACAAUGGGCGCAAGCCUGAUCCAGCCAUGCCGCGUGAGUGAUGAAGGCCCUAGGGUCGUAAAGCUCUUUCGCCAGGGAUGAUAAUGACAGUACCUGGUAAAGAAACCCCGGCUAACUCCGUGCCAGCAGCCGCGGUAAUACGGAGGGGGUUAGGCGUUGUUCGGAAUUACUGGGGCGUAAAGCGCGCGUAGGCGGAUUAGUCAGUUAGAGGUGAAAUCCCAGGGCUCAACCCUGGAACUGCCUUUAAUACUGCUAGUCUUGAGUUCGAGAGAGGUGAGUGGAAUUCCGAGUGUAGAGGUGAAAUUCGUAGAUAUUCGGAGGAACACCAGUGGCGAAGGCGGCUCACUGGCUCGAUACUGACGCUGAGGUGCGAAAGUGUGGGGAGCAAACAGGAUUAGAUACCCUGGUAGCGACUGA
rnacentral:rRNA from 1 species